rnacentral:rRNA from 1 species
UCCCGGCCGUAAACCAUGGGCGCUAGGCGUUGUCCCUUCGGGGGCAGUGCCGUAGCUAACGCGUUAAGCGCCUCGCCUGGGGAGUACGGCCGCAAGGCUGAAACUCAAAGGGAUUGGCGGGGGCCCGCACAACCGGUGGAGCGUCGGGUUUAAUCGGAUGCUAACCCUAGAACCUUACCCGGGCUUGACAUGCACGGUAAGCUUCCCGAAAGGGAAGCGUGCCCACCUUCGGG